GUGUGCUGGGUGCUGGCUCACUGGCACGUGCUCUUGAGGAACGCCGAACAGGGGAGGUUACUGGCGUUUGGAUAGGGGUCGUGGUCCCCGAGCUGGAGGUGACUUGCUGAGCUCCCAUCAUCGAAAUAUUGCUACUCAAAUUAUUUAAACUUGCAAUCAGCUGCGUGUUAGUAGCAGUGUGGCUGGCUACUAUCCUGGAUAAGGACUCAUUCACCACUUGAUUGUGUUGAAUGAGCUGAACGAGUGCCUGCUGAUGGCGCUGUUGCUCAUCUAUAAUGCGGGUUAAAUGUGCAUUCAUUUGGCUGUUUUCUGCCCUAAUUUGCUCCAUUGAGGUAGCCAUUCGCCCUACUUGUACUAUCAGUCUGCCCGAGUUGCGACUAAUACGCGGUAGAUGAUGGGGCAGACUGGCAAGGUGUUGUGUAUGUUGUGUGAGACUGGCAUUGCUUUGGGCCUGUUGGCUUGUCCAACUGGCCCAGAAAUCGUCAGGAAUUUGGCUUGGGGGCGGAGCUUGUGCCAGUUGGGGACUGAGGGAUGGUUGGGGGAUAUCCUGCAACUGUAUUGGCAUGCUUGGAUCAACAGCUGUCAGUUGCAGUGUGAUGGAUGGCUCUUGGUCUGGGCCCUGCUGGUCCACGGCGGACAUCAAGUUGUGCUCUGUAUGGGAUAACUGAGGUGACCUGGGCUCAUCACUCUGCAAACUCGCCAAUAGUGCCAGUGGUGGCUGGGGUGACACUGCCGAAAGUCUUCGCCUGGGUGGGGAUGAUGGAGGUGCUGAAUCCGUCCCAAGACGCCGUGUCUUAGUAGGCCUCCUGGAAUAUGUGACUACAGUGAAGACUUACCUGCAAUCCCAGCCUCAUCCUGACUUGUCUGAGGCCUGUCUGGGCGGCUGGUCUGGGUGACUGUGGAAAGAGUGACCCCAACAUUAUUACCAUGUAUUUUGAAAAAUGACCCACUGAAAAGCAUUAAUGUACUGUAAGCAUCUAUUAGGUAUUGUUUCAAAAAAAAAUUUAUGCUAAAGUGCUUCUAGAUUCAUGUUUUUUAGAGGAUUAUAAAAAUGUACUUGAU